rnacentral:pre_miRNA from 1 species
AAUAAACCAAUUUUUCACUUUUUACCUACAAUUUUUGACUCUUCGUCUUGUUUUUGCGAUUGAUAUUUUUGUUUUUAUUAGAUGAUAAAUUAUGAAUAGUACUUUACAUGUGACAAAUUUUUUUUAAUUUCCUGAAAAUUUUUCAAAUAAGACGGAUGGUCAAACAUUGGACACGGAAACCGAAG